AGAGAGAGUUGCGGCCAGCGGUGGAUCUACACAGUGGACUGAACGGUGGCAGGAGGUGAGAGCAGAGUCUAAACUGGGGUUUCAGUUCGCCGUCCGUCGUCGUCUUCCAAGGGCACAGCGGUACUCGACCUACCCCUUCGCCCCCAACCCACCCCUCUCGGGCGUGACCGCCUCUUCUGCCUGCUCCUGACCGCCGAGGCCUCGAUGGAGCGACGGCGCAGGUCAAGCUGGGACGGAGGACGUUCGUGCCGCUGAAGAAACUGUUGCAGACCCGCCCGGUGCUAGAUUGGUGCGGGUUAGAGAAGUCAAUUAGUCGUGCAUGUGGUCUCUGUUAAACAAGGUUGUUUGUGUAGGAGCAAGAGGUUUGGUUAGAUCGAGCUCCCCACGGGCUGCAGGGAGACGAAGGUGAGGCUGAUCAGUCCUCAAGGAGACGAAGGAAAUGCUACCGGCUAGUUAGCCGUGCGUCGCUAGUGUCACCCCGCGGUGCGUUACAACUACAGCUGGCAUCAACCUACAUGUUUCUCUCUACUCCCUUCAACUAGUCACUACGAACCGUUGUACCUCAUCUAUUAAAAGAUCUAGUACGUAAGAGUAACGGGCUACGACGACAUCUGCCCUUUAGGGUAACAGGAACGUCGUUCACGAAAACGCCAGUAUUCACGUGUUCCCUACAGUACUGGUGUGUGAACACGUCGUUACUCAAGUACAAUCCUAUACUCUCUACCUGAUCGGUGCCCCUCAGACUACGUGGACUUUUACAUCUCGUACUAUUGCACCCCCUACCUCUAUCUUACUUACUGUACGAUCAACUACGUUAACAACGACUUCCUCAAAGAUUUCCACUACUCGGUUGUUUUCGACGGUUUUUUAAGAUACUUUACAACUACCUUCGGCUGUUUUCAAACGUACUCUUCUGGUGUGUUAGUGCAGAUAGGUAACAUCCUUCCGAUUACUGAUAAUUUUGUGUUGUAUUAGACAGUCUUCGAACAAUAUUACUCUACUACUGAGAAUAUGUACUGUAACAACUCCUGCUACGACGUUUUCUAGAGGGUCGUUUGAAGGUAUCCAGGUUCUUCGAACACGUAUCAGAUCGUUACGGAAUGCAGUUUUAAGUACGUACGGGGUUAUUAACAUACGAAAUAAUAUUUCUCUUACCUUUAUUUCUUUUUACGUGAUAGACGUUUCUUGGAUCUAUACUCCUUUGUUGGCGUCCUUUAUUUAGAUGCUUCUAUGGUUCUUUUCAAGACGCGAUAGAGGGUUAAUGAGGAUCCGAUGUUGCCAACAUGUACAGUGUUCCGUGACGGUUCGUGUACCUGAUAGUGCGUUCCGGAGUAUUGUCACUACUUCAUUACCAAGUGGGAAGAGUACCACUUCGAACCUUCCUUAAAUUAUUCCUUAAAAUUUUUAAACGACUCCUUCAUUCCUUAUAUUCCGACACAGAUCGCUGACUGCCGAAGUGUGGAAAACCAUAAUUUCGUCGGAGGAUGAGUACAACCGGUCAUAAACAACACGGAAUAUUAGAAGGUGGCCUUUACACGUACUUCGUCUCAUUGGACUAGGAACGUGAUCAAUAAGGGCCAGGUCUAGUAGGUCCUUUCUUGGAUUUGCAAAAAUACGUCGGAGAUCAACUGCUUGAACUACUAAACACCUCUUUACCACAUCUUUGAAUACUAUCAAUAGCUUUCGUUUUAAAGUGGAAUUUCCGUCGAAACGAAAGCUGAUAAGUACUGAAAGGUCGAAUACCUAAUCAUCGUACGACCUCGUGAGUACCUUUAGAACGAACGGGAUAUACACCUAGACUGUAUUUCUGUAAGAGUAACUUCUUACCCUCUUUCGGUACGACCAAACUGACGGUAUCCUCUAAGGAAGGGUGACUGGUACGUAAAGCAUCCUCACACUUUACAAAAGCGUUCUUUUUUUGUCAAAAUCUAGGAGGUGGUUUCGUGAACAGGCCUCUUCUCCACAUACUUCUUGAGGUUUCAGAACAGGUACUACUUUGACCGUUCUCACUUAAACUCCCCAAACCCUUCCUCGUGUUAACUAUCGAUAUUCACCAAACACCGUCGAUCUCAUAAAAGCCUUCAACGACGAAGCGGUAUUGUAACUACAUUACGUGUUACUCUUUUUACAUAGACUCCGAAAUGAUUUGUGUACGGAACUAUAAGGACUCUUUUGAUUCCUAUUGUUGUUUCGUGCGGAACUACAACUAAAUAUAACACUAGCUGGUUUCGAUGUGGACUUGUUCUUAAGUUCCCCACACACCUUCUUUGGAUCUCGUUUUAUAACACAGUCGUUCCUUCUAUCUUACUGGUAGGAAUUCACCAAAUUUCUUCACUUCAAAAGACUACCCAAAUGACGAUUAAACUCAUUUUGACAGUUGAACUCAUUUUUGUUUAAGUAACCCGACUUUUCGGUACUGGUGGUGUAGUAGUACCUCGCGGAGGACGGUCAACGGGAUGCUCCGAAGUAGGGCCUUGGACUUACCUUCCAGUAUUGUCUCAAUUCAAAAAAAAUAGCCGUUAACACACGGUUUCUUUAACGAGGUUUUGCCUACGCACCUGAACUCCUCCUCCAAGAACAAGAUAAUACGUUCGAACUCUUUUACAAGGGUGGUCCGAAGAAGUUACAUUACGUUGUGGACUAUCACGUAGAAGGUAUACUCCGUUCCCAACCGCCGGGACACCGUAUAGCAACCUACAUACAAAAACUCUCCCGUUACGUGAUAGAAGCAAAUUUUCACACUUUGUUUCGUUCUCACCUCCCAAGUUAGCAACUUCGAACAUAACACGUCCUCUAGUGCUUAACACAAAGAGAAAUGAAAUCACUAGUACAAGCGUGAUAUACCUUCUUCUUAGGAGCUAUAUUAUUACCUCCUUGUGCGCACGUCUUACUACCAACGUGGAAUCUACACAAACUCGUACAUCCUUUGGAUGUACCCUCCGGAUAACGGGCUCUUGAUAGCGCACUUCUCAACUUACGUCGUUCCAACAUGUAAAACUGAUUGACGAGACGACAACUAUCUAAAGCACUUUGUAAACUUCUACUUUUUAUACGUUCAGUAGGUUUGAACUGUAGCCUCCCGGAACUACUUUACUACCGUAGGCUUAAACACCUUACCAAACUCUAACGAACGUUUCUUCUAGGGUUAAGACUACUCCUGAACACCUUAAAUCGAUUACCUACGUCGAGAUCUCGGAUAAGGAUAUCGAGGAUACUACACUUACCGAAAGCGAAAACUAGUCUCUAUAGACUCUUUUUUGCAUCUUCCAACUUUUGCCACUUGUGUCCCCAAACAAACAGUAGGAAGUAGAGUCUCUGACUUGUUGAACUCAUGAUACCACAGUAACUCCUUUAAUAGUUUCAUAGGAAGUGUCGACCAUUUUUUUAACUCUACCAUGAGAAGUUUACGGUAACCAAACUGGGGUAGUUCCUACACUUCGGUUUACGCUUUAAUCCAAACCACCUAUAUUUCACCAGAAGUUCUGAUUCAUUAAAACUUGUUAAACGGUACCGAGUGGUUCGAUGUGUUCGAAUAAUGAACGUAAUGCGUAGGAGGUCCUCUCUAGAAGCACUAACCUCCCAACAAAUGUGAUAAGUCGGUUCAUGGUUGAACUCAUUGAAACUCCUGACGCGUUUACUGGGUAGACGAUAUCUACUUAUAAAGGUCCUUCCACCAGUCGACCCAACAAAAAGACAUCUACCACCGUUUAAACAACUACUUAGAUGACUCGGUUCUUUCCUCAGUCUACUACACCUCGAACUAGGGAGACUUUAAAUACAUUAUCUUUUAGUUCCGUUAUUAAUACUCCCUCUUCUUAGAAGUCUUCUACUUAACCUACUCUCAUGACUACUCCUUCUUCUUCUAAAUGGACUUCUCCUUCCUGUUCUUCUCUGUAUACUCUGGCUUCUACUCCUACUACGUUAUCUCGUACUGAGACUUAUACUGCUACUACUAAUGACUUGUAAAUAUCAAAAACGUGAACAGUAAAAGACAGAACCAUGGUUAUUUAUAAUAUAUCACCGUGUUGAUCACUUAUUAUAUCAUACAAAUGAUAACCAUCAUUAUGUAUAAUGUAUCACUAAAUCACUUUGUUGAUAACUUGUUAUAUAAUACCAACUAUCAUAAAUAUCAAAUCAACAAUGUAUUACAAAAGACAACAAAAGAAGAAGAUGACAGUACGGAAACCAUUAGUAGAUGAUUAAUAAAAAAAUACAUCGAUUAUUCUUACAUAAACAGUGAUACAUUUAUCCUACUGGGCGAACGUAGUAUCCGCACAGAGUUACCGAUCCAGCUUGUUCAGAAGAAGAUCACGGAGGCAUCCUUUGUUACCUAGUUGAGCCGGUUGACGUGUUUGAUUUUUCGGAUCUUGUGGUUCUUGAUCCUGAAGUCGGCCAGAGUCUGAUCUCCUUUAACUGUCUGGCGAAUAUCAAGGGCAACCGUACCGUACCCUUUCCGUGGGUAUGUCGCGAGCACUAGGUAGUUGUCACGAUCCACGGAAUCACGCGGUCUACAUAGGUGGCGGUUAACCAGGUUUUUAACUAGUCUUUGGCCAUAACACAACCCUCCUGAUGUUCACCAGGGGACCAGGUCUUCAUUCUUGUCGUCGAAGGUUUUAUCACCUUCUUAAAACCACCGCAAAGUUCACACUGGGUAGCCUCGUUCUCUUCCGUCUACCACAAAACCUCCUCUUGAAUUGAUCCUUUCACUUCGACUACGAUGUACUCCUUUUCCGCCGUCGGUAGUUUUCUAAUUUCUUCUUCCCUGUUAACGGAUGUCUUGAUUGUCUUCUCCUACUCCUACCAUUGGCGACCGGUUGAUUCCUUCGAAAUUAAAGACGUUUCUCUCAACUGAAACCAUGUCUGCAACCAACCGCAGAUGAUACACUCGUGACCUCAUAUGACUUAAACUCCCAAUAGAAAUUGGUUGUUCUCCUUGUCUGAACGAUUACCCCUGUGCCAGAAGGUAACAUCACCACGAUCUUUACAACAGCGGUGUGCAGUUAAAGACUUUGAGUUUUGGCCCUUUCUAGGACCUUAAAAACCACGAACCGAAGUGUGCGUGUUUAACGUAGCUCCCUGACUACUUCUCGUCUAUACGUCAGUUUCUUGACGACUAGUAACCCUCCUAAAACUAUUCCGUUACUUUUUACGGGUACCUCUUUUAACCCUUCUCCUCGUGGGCCUAAAUCUACCUGUUUAGUAGAUGCUUCGUCGUCCGUCUUACGGUGUACCGUCCGACCCUUAACGAUUACUCAACAAAUCGUUUCGUCUCUUCCGCUUCAAAUUCAGAUUUUCCCGCUACCGGAGUGUCGGCCACGUUAGAGGAUUCCUCCUCGCAGAUCUUUCUCUUGUGUUUGUAAACUUCGUCCUCUAGUUCGCAGAAGCUCCGUAACUCGAACAACAAGUCAGAAACCGACUCCUUCCCCCUCAGCUGAAACUACCGUAUUACGUUAGUCGUCGUCUACUGAACAGAGGUAGUAUAAGACUUCCGCCUAAAGUUUCCCCUGUUCCACUACACGGAGUUGUGGUUUGGCUUUUCCCUUACCCUUCGUCCUGACCUCCGUCAUGUUCAGUACCUUUACUACUACUCCUACUGAUGAUACCGUUACCCCCUAUACUAUUGAUACCGCUCCCACUAGACAUACCACUACUCGUGAUGCUAGUGAUACCGCUACCCCUUAUACUACUGAUACCUCUACUCCUACUGAUACCGAGACCGAUACCGCCACCGCUACCGCUACUACUACUAACCGAUAUUUUCAGAUUACUAGAAGUUCAGUACGGUUUUACAUCAAUACAAUCUAUAAACUUUGUGAAAUAAUAGAAUACCUGUUUAAACAGAAUCAUCUGUUAAAUAGAAUACGUUUUACACCGGAUAGAGUCAAUGAUAAAACAAGACGUAAGCUGUAAACUAUUAAUACCAAUUACGUUAAACCUACGUUGAGUUAUGGAACACGAACACAUACUCUACGUAAACAACCUUACGG
rnacentral:rRNA from 1 species